rnacentral:rRNA from 1 species
UACGGGGGGGGCAAGCGUUGUUCGGAAUUACUGGGCGUAAAGGGUCUGUAGGUGGCUUGCUAAGUCAGACGUGAAAUCCCUCAGCUUAACUGGGGAACUGCGUCUGAGACUGGCGAGCUUGAGUGCAGGAGGGGAACGCGGAAUUCCAGGUGUAGCGGUGAAAUGCGUAGAUAUCUGGAGGAACACCGGUGGCGAAGGCGACAUCCUGGACCGGUAUUGACGCUGAGGCGCGAAAGCCAGGGGAGCAAACGGG